GAGUUUGAUCCUGGCUCAGAGUGAACGCUGGCGGCGUGCUUAACACAUGCAAGUCGAACGAGAACGGAUUAUAGCUUGCUAUAAUUGUCAGCUAAGUGGCGCACGGGUGAGUAAUGUAUAGAUAACCUGCCCUCUAGAAAGGAAUAACAGUUGGAAACGACUGCUAAUGCCCUAUAUGCCUUUAAUACAUAAGUAUGCAAGGGAAACGCUUUAGUGCUAGAGGAUGGGUCUGUAUGGUAUCAGUUAGUUGGUGAGGUAAUGGCUCACCAAGACUAUGACGCCUAACUGGUUUGAGAGGAUGAUCAGUCACACUGGAACUGAGACACGGUCCAGACUCCUACGGGAGGCAGCAGUGGGGAAUAUUGCACAAUGGACGAAAGUCUGAUGCAGCAACGCCGCGUGGAGGAUGACACAUUUCGGUGCGUAAACUCCUUUUAUAUAGGAAGAUAAUGACGGUACUAUAUGAAUAAGCACCGGCUAACUCCGUGCCAGCAGCCGCGGUAAUACGGAGGGUGCAAGCGUUACUCGGAAUCACUGGGCGUAAAGAGCGUGUAGGCGGGUAUAUAAGUCAGAAGUGAAAUCCUAUAGCUUUAACUAUAGAACUGCUUUUGAAACUGUAUACCUAGAAUGUGGGAGAGGUAGAUGGAAUUUCUGGUGUAGGGGUAAAAUCCGUAGAGAUCAGAAGGAAUACCGAUUGCGAAGGCGAUCUACUGGAACAUUAUUGACGCUGAGACGCGAAAGCGUGGGGAGCAACAGGAUUAGAUACCCUGGUAGUCCACGCCCUAAACGAUGUACACUAGUUGUGUGAGGCUUCGACCUUGCAGUAUUGCAGUUAACACAUUAAGGUGUUACUGCCUGGGGAGUACGGUCGCAGGAUUAAAACUCAAAGGAAUAGACGGGGACCGU
rnacentral:rRNA from 1 species